AGACCAACAGGGAUUGCCCUAGUAACGGCGAGUGAAGCGGCAACAGCUCAAAUUUGAAAUCUGGCUCUAGGGCCCGAGUUGUAAUUUGCAGAGGAUGAUUUUGGCGCGGUGCCUUCCGAGUUCCCUGGAACGGGACGCCUUAGAGGGUGAGAGCCCCGUACGGUUGGACACCAAGCCUCUGUAAAUCUCCUUCGACGAGUCGAGUAGUUUGGGAAUGCUGCUCUAAAUGGGAGGUAAAUUUCUUCUAAAGCUAAAUACCGGCCAGAGACCGAUAGCGCACAAGUAGAGUGAUCGAAAGAUGAAAAGCACUUUGAAAAGAGGGUUAAAUAGCACGUGAAAUUGUUGAAAGGGAAGCAUUUACUACCAGACCUUCUCCCUGCGGAUCAUGCGGUGUUUUCACCGCUGCACUUCGCUUGGUUUAGGCUAGCAUCGGUUUUCGUAGGGGGAUAAAAGCAUUAGGAACGUAGCUCCCUCGGGAGUGUUAUAGCCUUUUGCAUAAUACCCUUAUGGGGACCGAGGACCGCGCUUUUGCAAGGAUGCUGGCAUAAUGGUAGUCAAUGACCCGUCUUGAAACACGGACCAAGGAGUCGAACAUUUGUGCGAGUGUUUGGGUGUUAAACCCUCACGCGUAAUGAAAGUGAACGUAGGUGAGAGCCCUUACGGGUGCAUCAUCGACCGAUCUUGAUGUCUUCGGAUGGAUUUGAGUAAGAGCAUAACUGUUCGGACCCGAAAGAUGGUGAACUAUGCGUGGAUAGGGUGAAGCCAGAGGAAACUCUGGUGGAGGCUCGCAGCGGUUCUGACGUGCAAAUCGAUCGUCAAAUCUGCGCAUGGGGGCGAAAGACUUAUCGAACCAUUAAACCAGCGGUAAAAAUAUUUACUAGGUGGUUAAGAGGCCCUCUGUAAAGAGAAAAAGGCCUAGGUGACCUACCCUUGGAAGAUGCUACCCUGCACUUCCGGGUGGGCUAUCGACAUCGCUAAAUUGCGGAACAUCCUACUGUAAGGCUAGGGGUUACCGCCGCCUGCCUGAAAA
rnacentral:rRNA from 1 species